UAAUUACUCCCUCCGUUCCAAAAUAGAUGACUCAACUUUGUACUAUCUUUGUACUGAAGUUAAUACAAAAUUGAGUCAUCUAUUUUGGAACGGAGGGAGUAGAUG
rnacentral:pre_miRNA from 1 species